ensembl:rRNA 5S_rRNA 5S ribosomal RNA
GCUUACGGCCAUACCACCCUGAACACCCCCGAUCUCGGAAGCUAAGCAGGGUCGGGCCUGGUUAGUACUUGGAUGGGAGACCGCCUGGGAAUACCAGGUGCUGUAAGCU